UUGACCUCGGAUCAGGUAGGGAUACCCGCUGAACUUAAGCAUAUCAAUAAAAGAUAGGAA
rnacentral:rRNA from 1 species